rnacentral:tRNA from 1 species
GAACAUAGUUAAAACAAAUUCUAGACUGUGACUCUAGAGAUGAAGACUAACUAUCUUCUGUUCACC